GGCCCGUUCGUCUAUCGGUUAGGACGUCAGGUUUUCAACCUGAAAGAGGGUUCGACUCCCUACGGGCUGCCA
rnacentral:tRNA from 1 species